rnacentral:rRNA from 1 species
UACGUAGGGGGCAAGCGUUGUCCGGAUUUAUUGGGCGUAAAGAGCGUGUAGGCGGCCAGGUAGGUCAGCUGUGAAAACUCGAGGCUCAACCUCGAGAUGUCGGCUGAAACCAUCUGGCUAGAGUCCGGAAGAGGAGAAUGGAAUUCCUGGUGUAGCGGUGAAAUGCGCAGAUAUCAGGAAGAACACCCGUGGCGAAGGCGGCUCUCUGGGACGGUACUGACGCUGAGACGCGAAAGCGUGGGGAGCGAACAGG